rnacentral:ribozyme from 1 species
UGCCCAGCAACUUUUAUACCUACCUCCUCGCGGUACUGGUCGGAGUACUAGUAACCUUAGGGUAGAUCGGGUAACCAACCCCCGGUGGGAACUCUUGGCGUAUGCUGACAGAGAAGU